rnacentral:rRNA from 1 species
AAGAGGAAAAAGCUCAAAGUUGGAACCUAUUUGGCUUAGCUAAAUCGGAUUGUAAACUGUAGAAGUGUUUUCCUGACACGCCAGAUAAAUAAGUCCUUUGGAACAGGGCAUCAUAGAGGGUGAGAAUCCCGUCUUUGGUYUGAGCAGUUGUCUUUUGUGAUACAUUUUCAAAGAGUCAGGUUGUUUGGGAAUGCAGCCUAAAUUGGGUGGUAAAUCUCACCUAAAGCUAAAUAUUUGCGAGAGACCGAUAGCGAACAAGUMCCGUGAGGGAAAGAUGAAAAGAACUUUGAAAAGAGAGUUAAACAGUAUGUGAAAUUGUUAAAAGGGAACCGUUUGGAGCCAGACUGGCUUGACUGUAAUCAAUCUAGAUCCUUCUGGAUGCACUUGCAGUUUAUGCCUGCCAAUGACAAUUUGUUUUGAGGGAAAAAACUGGGAAGAAUGUGGCCCCUUUUGGGGUGUUAUAGCUUCUUAGAAAAUACCUUGGAGCGGAUUGAGGAUCGCAGUGAAUGUCUUUUAGGCAAGAUUGCUGGGUGCUUUUGCUGAUAAAUGCUAGAAUUUCUGCUUUUAGGUGGUGCUAGUGUUUAAAGGCAAAACUCGCUUAGUAUAUUUUUUAUUCGCUUAGGUUGUUGGCUUAAUGACUCUAAAUGACCCGUCUUGAAACACGG